GUCCCUGUAGCUUAAAACUAAAGCAUAACACUGAAGAUGUUAAGAUGGCGGCCCCCCCGGCCCACGGACA
rnacentral:tRNA from 1 species